AUAAGCAGGGAUUCAUCCUGCGGUCCAAGGGGAUAAUUAGAGAAAAACUCAAAUACACAAUACUGAAAGGAAACAGUGAGGUUGAUCCUCAAACAUUAUUUAUAGGAGCAGAAUGUGUGGAGGACAAAUGUACAAAUGUUAUCAAAGUAUGGUACGCACAUGUUUAGUAUUGUAUAUAGCAUGUAAGCCACAAGUUAAUCGUCAAGUCUCAAGGAAGUCCAAAGACACUAGGGUGGAAUCAAGUCACGCCCCUGAUAGAAGUAAAGCAAGUCAAGUCUUUGCUUGGGUAAAGCAAGUCACAAUUUAUAGUAAUUCAUCCCUCGGACACACACACACACACACACACACACACACACACACACACACACACACACACACACACACACACACACACACACACACACACACACACACACACACACACACACACACACACACACACACACACACACACACACACACACCCAGUCCUCAAAUGUAUGACUCAAUUCAAGUAAUUUGACAUUUGAAGUCCCCCACCUCUGAUGUAUAGUAAUGUAUAUAGUAUGUUUAUUGAAUUUAUUUAUUUUAUUAAUAACCAGCUCCUUCCUCGCUAUGACUCAUGCUGCCAGUCAUCUUCAUGGUUUCUCACUUCUGACUCAUGCUGCUUCACGCCACCAAUUCAUGAUUAAAAAGGGGCCAAUAAAAGACCUUUGUCAGAAUCUUCCAUGUCCCACAUCGUUUCUAUAAUAACCUUCUCCUGGCUCUUUCAACAGAUCAACUGUUGAAACAUUCACUCUGUGUCUUCAGAUUCUACCUUAUUGAUCAGGGCUUCAGGAAACCCUCACGAGUGUGUCUUUAGACUCUACCUAACUGAUCAGGCCUUCAGGAAACCCUCAGCCUGUGUGUCUUUAGACUCUACCUUACUGAUCAGGCAUUCAAGAAACCCUCAGCCUGGGUCUUAAGACUCUACCUUACAGAUCAGGUCUCGAAGUUCAUUGGCCAUGAUGCCCUUCUUCAGGCUACGGUCUGCACUAGUGACCCGGAAGGGCUUGUGCGGAGGGGGUUUCGCUGCCAGGAGCUGCUGGGUCAUGGACGCACUGGCGGACAUGCUGGCCGUUACGUAUCUGGAGGAGUAAAACACAUUGCGAGAUUGUAAUGAUUUAGAACACAAGAGCCUGCCCAAGGCCGCAAUGAUUAUACAUAGUUAACGAUUGUAUUCAGUCUGUAGAAUAAUGGCAAACGUCUACAAUAAGCUUCCAGUCCCAAGUAUUUUCUCUGUUUAGGAUCUAGGCUUUUUACACUGCCUACAAGAAAACAUUAUACAUUAUAAAUUUCCCAAAUCAGAAAG